UGGGGAAUUUUGGACAAUGGGGGAAACCCUGAUCCAGCCAUCCCGCGUGUGCGAUGAAGGCCCUCGGGUUGUAAAGCACUUUUGGCAGGAAAGAAACGUCAUGGGUUAAUACCCCGUGAAACUGACGGUACCUGCAGAAUAAGCACCGGCUCACUACGUGCCAGCAGCCGCGGUAAUACGUAGGGUGCAAGCGUUAAUCGGAAUUACUGGGCGUAAAGCGUGCGCAGGCGGUUCGGAAAGAAAGAUGUGAAAUCCCAGAGCUCAACUUUGGAACUGCAUUUUUAACUACCGGGCUAGGGUGUGUCAGAGGGAGGUGGAAUUCCUCGUGGAGCAGUGAAAUGCGUAGAUAUGCGGAGGAACACCGAUGGCGAAGGCAGCCUCCUGGGAUAACACUGACGCUCAUGCACGAAAGCGUGGGGAGCAAACAGG
rnacentral:rRNA from 1 species